rnacentral:rRNA from 1 species
CAGCAACCGCGGUUAUACAAAUAAUACAAAUAAAAUUUAUUAAUAAUAGUUAAUUUGUUUUAUUAAAAUUUAUUUUAAAUUUUUUAAGUGAAAUUUUAAAUUUAAUUAAUUUAAAAUUAAUGAGGCUAGUAAAUUUUAAUAAUAAACUAGGAUUAGAUACCCUAUUAUUUAAAAAGUAUUUUUUUUUUAUUUGAGUAGUAAUAGUUAUGUUCUUAAAACUUAAAAAAUUUGGCGGUGUUUUAGUCUAUUUAGAGGAACCUGUCCUGUAAUCGAUAAUCCACGUUGGACCUUACUAAUCUUUGUUUUCAACUUGUAUAUCGCCGUUAUCAGAAUAUCUUAAAAGAGAAAAAAUUUUCUUAAGUUAUUAAUAAAAAUGAUGUCAGGUCAAGGUGCAGUUUAUAUUUUAGAAGAGAUGGGUUACAAUAAAAUUAUUUACACGAAAAAUUUAUUGAAAAAUAAAUUUAAAGGUGGAUUUAAAAGUAAAAUACUAAAU